rnacentral:lncRNA from 1 species
GGAGUGGUUGCUUUAUUGUAUACCUCUAGCGAUUGGAUUUCACUAGAAACCCAUCAAAUGACUCCUCCCACAUUAUUAUGAUGUUCCCCAAGUUUUGGACUUAGUCCGAUAUCGAUUGGUCCAUGAAAUCAGACAAUUCAAGUUCAUACAAAGUUCGUUCCGAAAUGGAGUGGUUGGUGUAUUGCAUAAUUCUAGAGAUUGGAUUUCACUUAAAACCCCCAAAUGACUCAUCCCACAAUGUUAUAAUGUUCCC